GACGAACGCUGGCGGCGUGCUUAACACAUGCAAGUCGAACGGGAACCUUUAUUUCGGUAAAGGUGAGGGUGGCAAACGGGUGAGUAACACGUAGGCAACCUGCCGACAGGAUGGGGACAACAUUCCGAAAGGAAUGCUAAUACCGAAUGGAGUCCGGAGAUGGCAUCAUCUCUGGAUAAAAGAUGGCCUCUGAAUAUGCUAUCGCCUGUCGAUGGGCCUGCGUCUGAUUAGCCAGUUGGCGGGGUAACGGCCCACCAAAGUGACGAUCAGUAGCCGGUCUGAGAGGAUGAACGGCCACAUUGGGACUGAGACACGGCCCAGACUCCUACGGGAGGCAGCAGUGGGGAAUCUUCCACAAUGGGCGAAAGCCUGAUGGAGCAACGCCGCGUGAGUGAAGAAGGUCUUCGGAUCGUAAAGCUCUGUUGCACGGGACGAAAACUGGGUUUGAAAACAUUGAACCUGGGUGACGGUACCGAGCGAGGAAGCCACGGCUAACUACGUGCCAGCAGCCGCGGUAAUACGUAGGUGGCGAGCGUUGUCCGGAAUUAUUGGGCGUAAAGGGAGCGCAGGCGGACAUAUAAGUCCAUCUUAAAAGUGCGGGGCUCAACCCCGUGAGGGGAUGGAAACUGUAUGCCUUGAGUGCAGGAGAGGAAAGCGGAAUUCCCAGUGUAGCGGUGGAAUGCGUAUAUAUUGGGAGGAACACCAGUGGCGAAGGCGGCUUUCUGGACUGUAACUGACGCUGAGGCUCGAAAGCCAGGGGAGCGAACGGG
rnacentral:rRNA from 1 species